rnacentral:rRNA from 1 species
AGGGUUUGAUUAUGGCUCAGGACGAACGCUGGCGGCGUGCUUAACACAUGCAAGUCGAACGAGAGGACAAGAGAAGCUUGCUUCUUUUGGAAUCGAGUGGCAAACGGGUGAGUAACACGUAAACAACCUGCCUUCAGGAUGGGGACAACAGACGGAAACGACUGCUAAUACCGAAUACGCUUGGAAGACCGCAUGAUCUUCCAAGGAAAGGGUGGCCUCUACCUGUAAGCUAUCGCCUGAAGAGGGGUUUGCGUCUGAUUAGGCAGUUGGUGAGGUAACGGCCCACCAAACCUACGAUCAGUAGCCGGUCUGAGAGGAUGAACGGCCACACUGGAACUGAGACACGGUCCAG